CGGGUACUUGUACCUGGUGGCGAGCGGCGGACGGGUGAGUAAUGCCUAGGAAUCUGCCUGGUAGUGGGGGAUAACGCUCGGAAACGGACGCUAAUACCGCAUACGUCCUACGGGAGAAAGCAGGGGACCUUCGGGCCUUGCGCUAUCAGAUGAGCCUAGGUCGGAUUAGCUAGUUGGUGAGGUAAUGGCUCACCAAGGCGACGAUCCGUAACUGGUCUGAGAGGAUGAUCAGUCACACUGGAACUGAGACACGGUCCAGACUCCUACGGGAGGCAGCAGUGGGGAAUAUUGGACAAUGGGCGAAAGCCUGAUCCAGCCAUGCCGCGUGUGUGAAGAAGGUCUUCGGAUUGUAAAGCACUUUAAGUUGGGAGGAAGGGCAUUUACCUAAUACGUAAGUGUUUUGACGUUACCGACAGAAUAAGCACCGGCUAACUCUGUGCCAGCAGCCGCGGUAAUACAGAGGGUGCAAGCGUUAAUCGGAAUUACUGGGCGUAAAGCGCGCGUAGGUGGUUUGUUAAGUUGGAUGUGAAAUCCCCGGGCUCAACCUGGGAACUGCAUUCAAAACUGACAAGCUAGAGUAUGGUAGA
rnacentral:rRNA from 1 species